GAGCGGCUGGGUGUCGGUGCCCUGCUCUCCUCUGGGCGCCAGGAUGUUCCUGCCCAGGAGAAACAAGCAGCUCUCACUUUUAUUAAUUUCUUCUGAGUUUACAGAAGAACUAGGUAGCCUGUUCCCACUCAGAAACUCAUUCCACAUGGUUUGGGUGGUCCUACCACUGCCCUCACCCGCGUCAACAAAGGAGUGGGAACCGAACUCAGGCCCUGCCCAUCAGAUCAUCGAAUUCCUCUGGCCACAGUGAUUGGGUUGUGAUCAGUUAGGAUUCUGCACUUGUGACUGAAAAAUCCUUGUACAGGAACCAACCUUCUGGAAACUUCUCCCAUGUGUCAGGCCCACAGCACCUAGCACUGGAUGAGACACAUCACAAAUCCUGGACAAACUCUUGCUGAAACCAUGACAUGUCGAUGGCCCUUCACAGAAGACUUCACAAAAGGCUUCCCAUAACCCUAUUAAUGGAAAAAGGUGAC
rnacentral:lncRNA from 10 species